AAAGAAGGUGUUGCUGGUAUGGAUAGAUUUAUUGCUUUAUUUCAAUAGCAGCCAUAAGCAAAAGAGCUAUUAGGGCUCAGUUGUUAGACAAUGGAUAAUGUUUGUUUUUUUUUGUAGAAAUUAAGCAGGAGUAGUCAGCAUGGUCAUCUAACAACAGGGCCACUUGUUCACAUCUAAGGAACUCCUGGUUUAACUCUAUCCCAUUCCCUUCCAGGCACAACGUCAUGGUGAAAUUCUAAGGAGGCAAUCAUUGUAACCCCUGGGAGAGAAAGAAGAAAUAAUGGUUAAUCCACUACUGCACAGAGAGUCCUAAAUGCAGUUGUACAGCAGUGCUGAUAAAAGACCAAAACAGCAUCCUGUCAGUGGACAGUGAUUGUGCAUACAGCUUGAGAGGAGCAGAUGAUACCAGGAAGGUGAUUUAAGCUAACAUACUUUACCAUUAGGACUGGCGCACACACGAUCUGUUCAGCUGACAAGGGGUAGCUUGUUAAGUCAUGGGAGCACAACUAGUUUUGAUCAUGAACCUAUGUACUAAAAUGUUAAUCUGAGGCCCUCUUCUAAUUGUCAGCAGUAGUGUUUGUUCACGUGGUAAAGAUAUCCUGCAGUGGUAUAGGACAAAAGGGUUAAUGAAUAAGCACUGCCAAAAAAACAAAAACACGUGUUGCGUUAGGAAACGUUUCCGCAAUAC
rnacentral:lncRNA from 1 species